GACGAACGCUGGCGGCGUGCUUAACACAUGCCAGUCGAACGAAGAGCGCUGGCAGCUUGCUUCUAUCAAUCUUAGUGGCGAACGGGUGAGUAACGCGUAAUCAACCUGCCCUUCAGAGGGGGACAACAGUUGGAAACGACUGCUAAUACUGCAUACGAUCCAAUCUCGGCAUCGGGACUGGAUGAAAGGUGGCCUCUAUUUAUAAGCUAUCACUGCAGGAGGUGAUUGCGUCUGUUUAGUUAGUUGGAGGGGUAAGGGCCCACCAAGGCGAGGAUCAGUAGCACGACGGAGAUGAUGAGCGGCCAGAUUGAGACGGUGACAGGGCACAGAGGGCUUCGGAAAGCAGCAGGGGGGAAUCGGCCGCAAUGGGCGAAAGACAGACGGAGCAACGCCGAGGGAGGGAUGACGGCCUUCGGGUGGGAGAGCUCGGUUAAUCGGGACGAAUGGUUCUUGUGCGAAUAGUGCGAGGAUUUGACGGUACCGGAAUAGAAAGCCACGGCUAACUACGUG
rnacentral:rRNA from 1 species